rnacentral:lncRNA from 1 species
AUGAUAAAUAUGCAAAAAACUUUGAACCUAGAAGAAAUUAAUGAUUUCUCACUUUGUAUGGCUCAGCUAGACAACAAGGAUUUUCUCACCAGGUUUCAAAAUCAUACUGCUCUAGCCCAUGCAUUCAGUCGAAUAGCUGAAGUUUUCAGUCAACCCCUGUUUGCAGCCUUAUCUCUUAGAUUAGAACACAAUCAGAAUACAAUCGCAAGGUUGAAAGAACAGAUAGAAAUGGCAGAGAAGCAAAACAAAAAAGUCUGAAAAGGAGCAAAUAAUUGCAAUUCAACACAACAUCUGACAAAUUCGCGCCAUCAUUCCUAUCGUACACUUCCAGAACGUGCUUUUUUAUGCAGCACCUCAGUACUUAUAUGGAUAUUUUUGUUCUAUUUCUAGCUCUUCCUUCCCAUGUCAAUGAAAGAACAUAACGUUUCCAAGGAGUCUUUCUAAAAUUUUGAAUUGAGGGUUUUCUUUUGUUUUUUUAGAUAUUACCAGCUCAUUUUGAAUCACUGAGUACUACUCUGACUAGGGUUCUUAAGGUUUCCAAAAAACAUCAGACCCCCCUUUUCAUUUAAGAGAGUGUCCCUCAAAAUCCAAAAAAACGUUUUAGAUAACAGAACAUUCUACCUCUGUAUCGUUCCCAAGAUAAUCAGGCCGGUUCAGGACUCCUGAACUAGUCUGAAUGUACAUAUUUAAUUAUUUUCUAAUUUGUAAUUUUUUCUUGUUUCGUACCUGCAACUGCAGUAUGUUAUUCGUUGCCAUCUUACUCCCUUGUCUGUGGUUUUGCUCAUAAGGCUUUUGAUUGGUCAAGAGGAGGUAUGCUUUUUGAUCAAUUAGACAAUUUUUUCAUAAGGUACCUAGGUAUGUCUUUAGUUUGCAAGGCUGAAAAGAUUGUUCAUCUCACUCUAUCCUGUUCUACAUAAUUUUACUAAGACUUUGUCCUCAAGCACUCUAAUUAAGUUAAUUCAGUUUCCUACACAGGUACCUUGAAUGUGAGUGUACUUGGUUCGCUACAAAAUAUAUGUAGUAAAUAUAUAUGUAGUGUCCAAGCCAAAUAAGUUCUUACAAUUUUAGACGUGACAGUAGAUCUGCCAUCUUGAUUCUUGCAUUUAUUUUGAUGCUAAACUGUUGUUAUGCAAUCUUCUGUCACAGUCUAAAUGUCUGUUAACUUAUUUGUUGGGAUUUUAAUAUUGCAAUGCUUGCAUGUUGUUUUACGAACACAAUUUCAACUCUCGAAAAAACCUUAAAUUAUUAGCCUACCCUAUAUCGUGUAUUUUUUUUUCCACAUUGUUGGCAGGGUGUGUGAUUGCUCUAUCUAUUUCUAUUUUUUCCUUUUCCCAGAAAUGCCUUUGAAAACAUUUAAUUUGACGAAGUGAACCUAUAGUUUCUUGUUAAGACUUUCAUAUUUUUAUUACUUUAUAUUUUAUGUUAAAACUUCAUAAUUGUGUCACAAUUUACUAUGAAAAUAAACGAACUGUUCCUUUUCACAAAUUAGUUCUAACUUUCACCAAUUCUCUGUAUUCGCCUGUUUACACAUGUAAGGUUUUUUUUUUUUUUUUUUUUUUUAUCCGAGCUUGUAUUUCAUUCUUUAAUUUUUUCACAUUUCUUGUGGCAUGCUUAGCCAUAGACUGCAUUAAUUGUUAUUCUCUUGUCGAAUCUGUGCUGCUUGCAAUAUAAAAAGAGAAAAUUUUCAUUGUUAUUUCUAACACAAAUUAUUCGUCUUUGAAAACUGAGGACACUGUAGUAGUCAUCAUUUUUACUAGAAAUGAGUCAUACUCAGAGACUUAUAGAAAGUUA